rnacentral:rRNA from 1 species
CAGGGCCUACGGGGGGCAGCAGUAGGGAAUCUUCCACAAUUGGCGAAAGCCUGAUGGAGCAACGCCGCGUGGGUGAAGAAGGUCUUCGGAUCGUAAAACCCUGUUGUUAGAGAAGAAAGUGCGUGAGAGUAACUGUUCACAUUUCGACGGUAUCUAACCAGAAAGCCACGGCUAACUACGUGCCAGCAGCCGCGGUAAUACGUAGGUGGCAAGCGUUAUCCGGAUUUAUUGGGCGUAAAGGGAACGCAGGCGGUCUUUUAAGUCUGAUGUGAAAGCCUUCGGCUUAACCGGAGUAGGCCAUUGGA